ACCUGGGUGGCUCAGUCGGUUGAGCGUCUGACUUCAGCUCAGGUCAUGAUCUCGUGGACAAUGGGUUUGAGCCCCAUGUCAGGCU
rnacentral:tRNA from 1 species